AAUGAACGUUGGCGGCGUGCCUAACACAUGCAAGUCGAGCGGAUGAUGGAGCUUGCUCCUGAUUCAGCGGCGGACGGGUGAGUACAGCCUAGGAAUCUGCCCGGUAAUGGGGGAUAACGUUCCGAAAGGAACGCUAAUACCGCAUACGUCCUACGGGAGAAAGCAGGGGAUCUUCGGACCUUGCGUUAUCGGAUGAGCCUGGGUCGGAUUAGCUAGUUGGUGAGGUAAUGGCUCACCAAGGCGACGAUCAGUAGCUGGUCUGAGAGGAUGAUCAGCCACACUGGGACUGAGACACGGCCCAGACUCCUACGGGAGGCAGCAGUGGGGAAUAUUGGACAAUGGGGGCAACCCUGAUCCAGCGAUGCCGCGUGUGUGAAGAAGGCCUUCGGGUUGUAAAGCACUUUAGGUUGGGAAGAAGGUGUUGUUGUUAAUAGCGAUGACAUUUGACGGUACCGACAGAAUAAGCACCGGCUAACUCUGUGCCAGCCGCCGCCGUAA
rnacentral:rRNA from 1 species